GUCGUAACAAGGUUUCCGUAGGUGAACCUGCGGAAGGAUCAUUACGAGUGAGGGCCCUCUGGGUCCAACCUCCCACCCGUGUUUAUUUUACCUUUGCUUCGGCGGGCCCGCCUUAACCGGCCGCCGGGGGGCUCCGCCCCCGGGCCCGCGCCCGCCGAAGACACCCUCGAACUCUGUCUGAAGUGUAGUCUGAGUGAAAAUAUAAAUUAUUUAAAACUUUCAACAACGGAUCUUGGUUCCGGCAUCGAUGAAGAACGCAGCGAAAUGCGAUACGUAAUGUGAAUUGCAAUCAGUGAAUCAUCGAGUCUUUGAACGCACAUUGCGCCCCCUGGUAUUCCGGGGGGCAUCUGUCCGAGCGUCAUUGCUGCCCUCAAGCACGUUGUGUGUUGGGCCCCGUCCUCCGAUCCCGGGGGACGGGCCCGAAAGGGCGGCGGCACCGCGUCCGGUCCUCGAGCGUAUGGGGCUUUGUCACCCGCUCUGUAGGCCCGGCCGGCGCUUGCCGAUCAACCCAAAUUUUUAUCGGUUGACCUCGGAUCAGGUAGG
rnacentral:rRNA from 1 species